AUAUAAUACACGUAGAUUAUACAAUUGCAGGAAAAAAGGAUUAGACCACCCUUGUUUUCUUCAAUUUCUUGUUCAUUUUAAUGCCUGGUACAGCUAUUGGUACAUGUGUUUGGACAAAUAUAAUGAUAACAACAAAAAUAGCUCAUAAGAGUUUAAUUUAAACACUGAUAUCUACACAUUUUCUACGUUUUCUUGAUAAUAACCAAAAUUACGUAAAUUGUCACAUCAAUAGCUAUGGCAUUGUACUGCCAAAAACAGAGCUUUUAGGCGUUCCAUG